rnacentral:rRNA from 1 species
AUGAACGCUAGCGAUAGGCUUAACACAUGCAAGUCGAGGGGCAGCACAAGGUAGCUUGCUCUCUGGGUGGCGACCGGCGCACGGGUGCGUAACGCGUAUGCAACUUGCCCUAUACAGGAGGAUAACCCGUCGAAAGACGGACUAAUACUGCGUAUGCUCACAACUUGGCAUCAAGUGGUGAGGAAAGAAAUUCGGUAUAGGAUAGGCAUGCGUCCCAUUAGCUUGUUGGUGAGGUAACGGCUCACCAAGGCAACGAUGGGUAGGGGAACUGAGAGGUUUAUCCCCCACACUGGUACUGAGACACGGACCAGACUCCUACGGGAGGCAGCAGUGAGGAAUAUUGGUCAAUGGGCGCGAGCCUGAACCAGCCAAGUCGCGUGAAGGAUGACUGUAUUAUGGAUUGUAAACUUCUUUUAUACGGGAAUAACAAGAGUCACGUGUGACUCCCUGCAUGUACCGUAUGAAUAAGCAUCGGCUAACUCCGUG